AGCAUAUCAAUAAGCGGAGGAAAAGAAACCAACAGGGAUUGCCUCAGUAACGGCGAGUGAAGCGGCAACAGCUCAAAUUUGAAAUCUGGCCUCUUUGGGGUCCGAGUUGUAAUUUGUAGAGGAUGUUUCGGGCACCGCUCCGGUUUAAAUUUCUUGGAACAGAAUGUCAAAGAGGGUGAGAACCCCGUCUUGGACCGGCAGUAGGGCCCAUGUGAAACUCCUUCGACGAGUCGAGUUGUUUGGGAAUGCAGCUCAAAAUGGGUGGUAAAUUUCAUCUAAAGCUAAAUAUUGGCCAGAGACCGAUAGCGCACAAGUAGAGUGAUCGAAAGAUGAAAAGCACUUUGAAAAGAGAGUUAAACAGUACGUGAAAUUGUUGAAAGGGAAGCGCUUGCAACCAGACUUGCGCGCGGCGGUUCCCCCUUCCUUUUGGUUGGGUUAUUCCGCCGUGUCCAGGCCAACAUCGGUUCUGGGGGUCGGUUAAAGGCCUGGGGAAUGUAUCUACCCUUCGGGCGUAGACUUAUAGCCCCGGGUGUCAUGCGACCUCCCGGGACCGAGGAACGCGCUUCGGCUCGGAUGUUGGCGUAAUGGUUGUCAGCGACCCGUCUUGAAACACGGACCAAGGAGUCUAACAUCUAUGCGAGUGUUUGGGUGUCAAACCCGGAACGCGGAAUGAAAGUGAACGGAGGUAGGAAGCUUCGGCUGCACUAUCGACCGAUCCUGAUGUCUUCGGAUGGAUUUGAGUAAGAGCAUAGCUGUUGGGACCCGAAAGAUGGUGAACUAUGCCUGAAUAGGGUGAAGCCAGAGGAAACUCUGGUGGAGGCUCGCAGCGGUUCUGACGUGCAAAUCGAUCGUCAAAUUUGGGUAUAGGGGCGAAAGACUAAUCGAACCAUCUGGUAGCUGGUUCCUGCGAG
rnacentral:rRNA from 1 species